CCCUCUCCACCUCCUGGAUGACGCCCCCUAGCUCGGUGCAUUCGCGUUUUGGGCUGGAUGGCGGCGACCUCAACCUCCUCUGCCACGCUCCGUCACUGCCGUGCAUCCUGUGGCAACACCCUCUGCUGCGCGACGGCGGUGUCCGAUCUGCACUGCGAUCACUGCAUAGCCUACGAACCUGACCAGUAGAAUAUCUUCAAGUUGCAGAAAAGGCAGCAAACUUUAUAAAGGAAAAACUCUAUGAUGCAAGCUCAAAAAGGCUACAUCAUAGUUAUCCAAAUGGCCCAGCAAAUGCACCAGGAUUUCUUGAUGAAUAUGCCUUUUUAAUCAAUGGCUUGCUGGAUCUGUAUCAAUAUGAUGUGGCUAGGGUUUCGGCUGCGGGGUCGUGUCUGUUGCCGGCGCGUCUUUGGUGGCUCCUCUCCGUCGUACAUCCCGCUCCCUCGCUACCUCUCUGCCUCUUGGAUGGCGCUUGCGCGCGUUGGGCUGGACAGUGACGACCCCAACCCCCUCUUCUGCGUCUCCGGCGCGGUGUGCAUCCUGUGGCAACCUCCUCUGUCAUGCGACGACGUUGUCUGAACUACACUGCGACUGUUGCAUUGCCUACAAACUUCUCCGGUGUGCAUUGCUACCUCUACAUCCCUCCCCUGCUUGGUUUGAUUUAAAUGACAGUGGCAAUCAUGUAGCUGUAGUGUUAGUUGACUGUUGUUGGUAAUGAUGACUCUCAAGUGGCAACUAUUCUGAGUUAUUUUGAGAACGUAUAACAUGAUCUUGGACCCCUAAAGGAUGAUCAAUGCAUAAUUCUUUUAUGCUC